ensembl:lncRNA
CGACGACGUUUAGGAGAGCAAACAUUUUCAAGGUCAUCCGGUGAACUGGAACGAGCUCAGAGAGAUGCAUGGCGAAAACGGCACAUUUUGACACGAGCGCAAGGUUUGAUUAAAAGGUCUGUGCUACAGAGAGAAGGAAGGGAAAACGAAUCAUCUAUAUGAAUGAAGGAAAAGAGGAAACCAAGGCCGAAGAUGAGGAAGAGAGAAAGACAGAGAGCGAGGGGAGAAAAA